rnacentral:rRNA from 1 species
UAACGUAGGGGCUAGCGUUGUCCGGAUUUAUUGGGCGUAAAGAGCUCGUAGGUGGUUCGGUAAGUCGGAUGUGAAAUCUCCAGGCUCAACCUGGAGGGGUCAUUCGAUACUGCCGUGACUAGAGGUCGGUAGGGGAGUGUGGAAGUUCCUGGAUGGAGCGGGUGAAAUGACGCAGAUAUCAGGAGGAACACCCGUAGCGAAGGCGGCACUCUGGGCCGAUACUGACACUGAGGAGCGAAAGCGUGGGGAGCGAACAGG